UUGCUGAAAAGGUGCCGUCGCAGCUGCUACUGCACCUGCAUAAAAAAGGGCUGCUGCCUUGUUCGGCGGCUAGGCUAAAGCAAGCAAUCAUGACUGCUUGCGCAUUGGCUGUCUUGAUCGUGGGUUUAGUUGCGGCUCACUCAAUCAAGUAGCCGAAUUACUCCAUGAUGCUCUAGCCUGAAGAACUUUAGUGCAACACUAGAGAACCGUCGUGAUUAGCAUAUUUGUCAAUCCUCCAUGCGCCCAUGCCCAACCCCAACACUUCGGUGAAAACAAGUAGGCCUUCACAUUGAAAAGCAGUGAAACAGAAAGACAGCACUCGUGAUAACCACGAGAGCAAUGUGUGAUGGCUGUGGUGGUGAUCGGAGAUCAAUACGACGACCCCUUCGGUUAUUACGGAGUACAGACUGUCAGCGACAAGGACAACAUGGAAGGGCGAAGGACAGGAGGAGCCGGAUAUUGGUUGGGCGACAUAUAUGGCAUAGCGAUGGCACCUGGUAUUGACACCACUGUUACACGCCCAGACUUGGUAUCAGGUGGUACCAAGUACGCAAAAUGCAAUCAAUGCAGCUGCAAGAUCGCUUGGGAAUUAACAAAUUAUGGAAAGGGUGGCAGCUGCAAAAAACAGUUCGAAUUUACUUGUACGUGCAACAGUUAUAGGUGCGACAAAAAGGAGACGCAGUUCUGCAUGGCUAAGUUGGUUUCUCCAAUGUAAAGGAUGUUUGUAGCAGAAACGUGUUACUGAGUGAUCACUAAAUAAAGCUUAGGUU